AGUGAACGCUGGCGGCGUGCCUAAUACAUGCAAGUCGAACGGAAUUUAAAAGAGCUUGCUCUUUUAAAUUUAGUGGCGCACGGGUGAGUAAUAUAUAGCUAAUCUGCCCCUUGCUGGAGGACAACAGUUAGAAAUGACUGCUAAUACUCCAUACUCCUUUUUACCAUAAGAUAAAUCGGGAAAGAAUUUCGGCAAGGGAUGAGACUAUAUCGUAUCAGCUAGUCGGUGGGGUAACGGCCUACCGAGGCUAUGACGCGUAACUGGUCUGAGAGGAUGAUCAGUCACAUUGGAACUGAGACACGGUCCAAACUCCUACGGGAGGCAGCAGUAGGGAAUAUUGCGCAAUGGGGGAAACCCUGACGCAGCAACGCCGCGUGGAGGAUGACACUUUUCGGAGCGUAAACUCCUUUUGUUAGGGAAGAAUAAUGACGGACCUAACG
rnacentral:rRNA from 1 species